rnacentral:rRNA from 1 species
CAGCCGCCACGGUAAUACGUAGGUGGCAAGCGUUGUCCGGAAUUAUUGGGCGUAAAGCGCGCGCAGGCGGCCUGUCCAGUCUGUCUUAAAAGUUCGGGGCUCAACCCCGUGAUGGGAUGGAAACUAGUAGGCUAGAGUAUCGGAGAGGAAAGCGGAAUUCCUAGUGUAGCGGUGAAAUGCGUAGAUAUUAGGAAGAACACCAGUGGCGAAGGCGGCUUUCUGGACGAAAACUGACGCUGAGGCGCGAAAGCCAGGGGAGCGAACGGGAUUAGAUACCCCUGUAGUCCCUGUCUCUUAUACA